CUUACAUAUUUUAAAUUAGAAUUUUGCGUUGAAGUUGCAAAGAUGGCUGUAAGGCCUGUAGGUAA
rnacentral:tRNA from 1 species